CUUGAUCGAGGCGAUGAGGCUCGCCUUUAACCGCCCUCUCGGUGAGGACUGACAGCUUCUACACAAAC
rnacentral:ncRNA from 2 species